GCAGAUGUGGCGGAACUGGUAGACGCACAGGACUUAAAAUCCUGCGGUUGAAUAAACCGUGCCGGUUCGAUUCCGGCCAUCUGCACCA
rnacentral:tRNA from 16 species